GCCGUAGGAUUGAGCCCUUUUAGAAGGCUUAAAACCCUAAAACAAGGCCAUUUUGCAGAACCAAAAUAAAAGAUAGUCUCACAUGGGCCAUCAUCUCAAAAGCAUAGAUUCAUCACACCGAUCCGCGAGCCGAGCAGAACGUUCGAGAAAAGCCUAGUUGAAUCUCGUGCAAUUUAUACAAACAAACAUCAACCAAACUUCCUGUUUUCUCCUCUGUAAUUCAUAAUCUUCACGAAUCUUCCUCCGAAACAGAGCGAUACAGGUUUGAUCAUAGAUCCAUUCCUUUUCCAUUUCAGCAUUCAAAUUUGGCGUGCGGCGUCUGUUUGUUUGAAUCAGAUAUUGUAUUCUUGGUGAUCGGCAAGAUUGGAACAAGCUUUUCUUUAUUUGGUUUGUGAUGGAGAAUGGAGGAGCUGUUUCGUCAGAGACCCAACAAGGUGCCUCUUACACUUAUUGGGUUAGGGAAACGCGCCAAGAUGCAGCUCCACUUCCUGUUCCUCGCAAACUUUCUGCUGAUGACAUUCUCGCUUCUCAAGCGUCUCAGCCUCCCACACUUGGCUCCGUUUGGAAUCGGGCUGGAACUUGGGAGGAGAAAAACUUGAAUAAAUGGGCAACUGAUAGAAUGAAGGAGUUGCUAAUGUCAGUGGCCUCCUUGGAGUUCUCCAGUGGUAGAGCAGAAAUAGCGGAUGUGUCAAAAUGUGUUGGGGAUGCUUUUUUAGUGACCGUCCGCAACAAGAAACGUGUUGGUUAUACUUAUGAAUUGACAUUGAAAAUUAAAGGUGAGUGGACUCUAAAACAGGAGAAGAAGAUCGUGAAGGGGCAUAUAGAUGUCCCAGAAUUCUCUUUCGGUGAGCUAGAUGACUUGCAGGCGUUAGGCUGCCUUGGGCGUGGACAGAUGUGUACACUAUAUUGCUUUAUCCCUGAUUUUUCACUCAUAUGGUAGAUAAGUUCUUCAAUGUCAAUCCAUAUAGUUAUUUGCAUCUGCUCUUGCUGAGAAGACAACUUGGACCACAAUAGAAAGCUCAAUAUUGAGCACAAAGAAUAGAGAACAAAGUUCUAUUUAAUCCUACUAGCAAUUUCUUUCUUUCAUUUUUCUAUGUAUGCUUUGAUUAUUAACUCACCUUCCUAUCGUGUAAUUAUGAGUCCUUGAUGAGGGUACCCUCGAAUCAACCUACCUUUCAGCUGAACCUUGAUUCACUCCGUAUCAAAUGAGCCUAGGGUGAGGCAACGUGUGGAUGAUACUGAAUCCAGUUUCUAUGCCUUGAACAUGAACAUUGUCUGAUUAAUCUAAUAGACUGGUAAUCAGAUCUUUCAGAGACAAGAAAGCAAGUGGGUUUUGUUCUCAAUGAGGAAGGUGGGGAAGUGAUUUUGUUUCUGGUUUUGCAAACGCCCGUAGGUGGUGUAGAGCGCAAGAUUAAGAUAGUAGAGUUGGAGGUUAGCAGCAGCUUCUCAGUGAACUUCCUGCUGAUCAUUGGUCUGCCCAAUUGGGCUCAACAUCUCAAAAAGAUGGACGUGAGACUGAGCGAAGAGAAAGAUCUUCUGGGUGAGGAUAAGUUUCAGAUUUGCCAAGAUUUGAAGCGAUUUUUGCAGCCUGUUCGUGAAAAGUUGCUCCAAUUCGAACAGGAACUCAAAGAAAGAUAAUAAGAAAAGGUUAAUUCUCAACAUUAAUAUGUACCAAUUGUUAUUGUACUCCAAAGGUUGAUUGGCAAGGAUGUCUUAUUGGAUACCCUUUCAAGGAUCAUAAAUUAUUUGAACAAA